AAGACAAUUAUAGCGCCUGAGCUGAGGAAAUCGGACGGACAAUAAUCCUUAGUUGACGAGGUGGAGGUUUAUCGAAUAUUCGGCGGAUGCCUCCCGAUCGCCAGUGCCCGAUUGUAACAUUCAUUUUAAAACAGCAAAGUAAUUUGCUGCACAAAAAAAUGAAUAGGCACCCAA
rnacentral:ncRNA from 2 species